rnacentral:rRNA from 1 species
AACAGGUUAAUAUUCCUGUACUUGGUGUUACUGCGAAGGGGGGACGGAGAAGGCUAUGUUGGCCGGGCGACGGUUGUCCCGGUUUAAGCGUGUAGGCUGGUUUUCCAGGCAAAUCCGGAAAAUCAAGGCUGAGGCGUGAUGACGAGGCACUACGGUGCUGAAGCAACAAAUGCCCUGCUUCCAGGAAAAGCCUCUAAGCAUCAGGUAACAUCAAAUCGUACCCCAAACCGACACAGGUGGUCAGGUAGAGAAUACCAAGGCGCUUGAGAGAACUCGGGUGAAGGAACUAGGCAAAAUGGUGCCGUAACUUCGGGAGAAGGCACGCUGAUAUGUAGGUGAAGUCCCUCGCGGAUGGAGCUGAAAUCAGUCGAAGAUACCAGCUGGCUGCAACUGUUUAUUAAAAACACAGCACUGUGCAAACACGAAAGUGGACGUAUACGGUGUGACGCCUGCCCGGUGC